UUACUCCCUUCCAAAACCCUAGCUUUCUGGUUUCUUCCCACAAAUUCGACUCCUCGCUAAUUCCGCCCCAAUUCACAAGAAAACUUAGCUUCUUCCCUCCUUUAAUAUUUUAUAGAUGUAUGGAAUCAGUCGAUAACAGCUGGAACAAGACGAAGAAGCAAUCCGAUCUCUAGCGAAAUCCCUUCAAUUCUUUCCAAAAAGAAAACCUUUUCGAUGUCGCCAGCUUCCACAGGCCGAAUCAAAUCGAAUCGAGUCGAUCCCGAUCUGGACGAAAAUAAAAGUGAAAAAAAAGGAAUGAGUGAUUAUGCGUUCUAUAAUGGAAAUCAAAUCUUUCCGAAUUUGAGCGAUACGAAUCGAAGAGUAGAGAUCAAGGCUUUUCCUCAGCAGGUUUGGAUUUCGAUCUCCAUUCUUACCCUAAAAUUAUUUCACCAGGGAUGCUUUCGAGAUCCGAAUCGCGUCCAAAUUCCGCUUUGUUCUUUGGAGUACUGAUUUAAUAAGCGCGUCGGAGU
rnacentral:lncRNA from 1 species